UGGGGAAUAUUCCGCAAUGGACGAAAGUCUGACGGAGCGACGCCGCGUGGAUGAAGAAGGCCGAAAGGUUGUAAAGUCCUUUUGCUGAGGAAGAAUAAGUGUGGGAGGGAAUGCCCGCAUGAUGACAUGAAUCGGCGAAUAAGCCCCGGCCAACUGCGUGCCAGCAGCCGCGGUAACACGUAGGGGGCGAGCGUUGUUCGGAAUUACUGGGCGUAAAGGGCAUGUAGGCGGUUAUGUAAGCCUGGCGUGAAAGUCCACAGCUUAACUGUGGGAUUGCGUUGGGAACUAGAUGACUAGAGUUACGGAGAGGGAGCUAGAAUUCCUGGUGUAGGGGUGGAAUCUGUAGAGAUCAGGAAGAAUACCGAUGGCGAAGGCAAGCUCCUGGCCGAUGACUGACGCUGAGGUGCGAAAGUGUGGGGAUCAAACA
rnacentral:rRNA from 1 species